rnacentral:rRNA from 1 species
CUACGUAGGGGGCAAGCGUUAUCCGGAAUUAUUGGGCGUAAAGAGUGCGUAGGUGGUUACCUAAGCAGGGGGUGAAAGGCACUGGCUUAACCAAUGUCAGCCCCCUGAACUGGGCUACUUGAGUGCAGGAGAGGAAAGUGGAAUUCCUAGUGUAGCGGUGAAAUGCGUAGAUAUUAGGAGGAACACCAGUGGCGAAGGCGACUUUCUGGACUGUUACUGACACUGAGGCACGAAAGUGUGGGGAGCAAACAGGAUUAGAUACCCUGGUAGUCCACACCGUAAACGAUGAGCACUAGGUGUCGGGGGAGCAAUUUCUCGGUGCCGCAGUUAACGCAUUAAGUGCUCCGCCUGGGGAGUACGUACGCAAGUAUGAAACUCAAAGGAAUUGACGGGG